rnacentral:rRNA from 1 species
CACACUGUAAACGAUGAUAGCUAGGUGUGGGGGGUCUGACCCCUUCCGUGCCGGAGUUAACGCAAUAAGCUAUCCACCUGGGGAGUACGGCCGCAAGGUUGAAACUCAAAGGAAUUGACGGGGGCCCGCACAAGCAGUGGAUUAUGUGGUUUAAUUCGAAGCAACGCGAAGAACCUUACCAGGUCUUGACAUCCAACUAACGAAAUAGAGAUAUGUUAGGUGCCCUUCGGGGAAAGUUGAGACAGGUGG